rnacentral:rRNA from 1 species
AUGGUGCUGUGGGAGAUCACGGCCAUCACCGCCUACUUCCUCGGCCUCCGCCGCACCUACCGCCUCGCGCUCCGCGGCCAGCGCCGCCUCAUCGGGCCCAACCACCCCAGGCUCCGCGACUUCGUCUACAGGCGGACACGUUCUAUAUUCGACGUCGCAGUCUCAGUGCACAAGAACAUUCAGGAGAGGGACUUGGAAGUUGGUCGGAACGUCGGAAACGCGGUCCUUCGCUGGCUCGACCGCAUGAAGCCAUCAGCACAGAUCCGCCCCCACCCUCCAGGCCCGCCAGGCUCCCCCCCGGAGCAACUCAGGCACCUUUCGACCAUGAAUAAGGCCGUAGGAGCUCAGAAGCCUGCCUCAAAGACCUCGACGCACGACUCGAGCGGCAAGAUGCUGUUCUCGCCCCUGAACAUCCGGCCCAAGUCCUUCCCUAUCCUCCCCACGAUGAUGCAGUCCACCAGGAUCAGCGCGAGCAACCAGUGCAGGCGCCUCUCCAGCUCGCCGUUCCCGUCCGUCACCGCCAGGAGGAAGGACAUGAUGGAGGGUGUCUUCCGGAAGGACAUCGCCCAGCUAAUGGUGUAA